rnacentral:lncRNA from 1 species
CGAAGCGGUCUCUAUGGCACCGGCACCGCCAUGCUCAACCCCGCCAACUAUGUGGUGUAUGGCUAUGCCCGCACCAACCUUGCGCCGAGGGCCUUCAGCCAGGGCGUGGCCUUCCGCCUGCGCGUGAGUGCAAAAUGUCCGCGCCGCACACAUCUUGGCCUUUUUAAAAGAGAAACCGAUGUAAAGGCGCUUGCUUGUGGCCACUGUUAUGCAAAGCCUCUUUCUGAAUACCUGUCAAUAUGUCCCACUUGUAGCUGCGCUUAGCGUUCCUCGUGCGCGUGUGCUGCUUCUCAACCGACCACAGGGCCCGCACACGCGCCUGUUCAUCAACGGGCAGUUGGUCUAUGACUUCCAGUCCACGUCCGUGUUCCAGACCGUCACGCCCUGUGUCACGCUGGCAAGCAACCAGUCGCACGAGAUCUACCUCUACUUCGCUGCAAUGGUGCGUGAUGCGACGCAACGCAGCAAGGCAGACUGCCACGGCCGUGGGCUUCUUGGGGUCGUGCAGGGCAUUGUUGCUACGUGCUCAGUGGGCCUCAUCAUGCUGCCAGGUCGUAGCCCAUGCGCAUGUAACCCUGC